GGAGGAGAGCAGGAGGCCUAGAAUGGGAGCAGUAGGAUGGAGAAUAAAUCAGAAACGGAGGAGAAAUUGAAAACGGGAAUUACAAAUAGGGGAAGAGAGUUCAAAA